GGAACGCGCAUCUUGACCGAGCCCUCGCAGCUCGGAGGUCGGAGAUGGGAGGUCGGAGCUGGGAGGUGGGAGGUGGUAGGUGGUAAGGACGACACAAUAACUAUACGGCUAGUAGUGUCCGAGAUGUGACUUGGUGAGCAGUUGCGUGUGAAGCAACGCAACACUUUGUCGUCUCGCUACCUUUUAAAACACCGACGGGCUUUUGCUAGUUUGGGAAUACGGUGAAGAGGAUGCGGAGACUGUGAAAGCAGAGACGGUGCAGGGUCAUAGGUCACGGUGCUGGAAUGCCUUUCCACCCUCUUUUGCCAGCUGACUGGGAGUAGCCAGUGGUUUGUUUUUUUUUUUUUCUCGAACUAACGUGCAGCUGACGACACCUCUCUACCUCAUCACACUCCAGAUUGCUGUUGAAACAACCAUUUAUUCUGCGUCCAUGAGAAAAACGUACACAAAAUACUGGACAUGCUGUAGCUCACAGUGAGGGUCAUUGGGGCCAGCUUGGAUCCAAAGGAGUUCCAGAAGUUCCAGAUACCCUCUGCCAUGGCCUUCUCAAGUGAUCACAACUUCACUGGAAAUUUGGAAGGGCAGGGCAAGAAUGGCUUAACCUCUGCACCAUCACUUGUGGAUGAGCAAAAUCUCAGUGCUGACUUUGAGCCUGCCCCAGUUGAGCCUUUAUGUCCAGGGGAACCCCAAAACAUGAUGCCAGCUACAACCCAACAAGCCAUGCCUGGUAACAGUCAGCAGAUAGGCCACUACAUUGGCAUGGAGUCACAGAAUGCUAUGGGGCAGGCAUUUUCUGGUCCUGGGGGCAUGGGUGGUGGAGGUGGUGGCAUAGUUGUAGACCAGCAUGGCCAGUACCCAAAUGCUAGUAUGAGCCAAGCAGGUAAUACGCUGUUCUUCAACCAAGACCAGAAUGGAAAUAUGUUCUACCGCUAUCGACCAUAUCUAUACAACCACAACCAGCAACUUUGUGUUUUACAACAAAAAACACAGCAGCAACAGCACUGCCCAAAUCAGCUGUUAAACCAGCACCAGCAUCACCAACUUUUCCCACAGGCUUUGCCUCUGCAGCAUCAUAAUUUCUCCUUUGACCAGGGAGGUCAAUCUCAGAGCCAAAAGCAAAGUCGCCUUUCUCGACAGCGGGUUCAGAACCAGCUACCUGCACAAGGAUUAAAGUCGCGUAUAAGGGCUAAGCAAAAAAAGACUUAUGUGGAUAGUCAAAAGACUUGCUUGCAACCACAGCAGCAGGGCAGCUACCAGUUGGCGAAGGCAGGUGAAGCCCUCUCUGGAUCAAGAUUGAGAGUCCCUCAAUCAUGCUUUCCUGUACAUUCAUCAUCUAUGACUCACUCCCUGCCGCUCAGUGCUGCCACUGCUUACGAAACUCCUCAGUACCCUCCCUACCGUGGAGACGCAGAAAUACCAAGUCACAGUCAGCAGCCAUUGUUCACAACCUCAGUGCCUGUUCCCACCACCAGCACUGCACCCCUCACUUCUACAGCACCCACCCACUCAGGGAGUGGAGGCCAGUUUCCAUCUACAGUCAGUCCUACCAAAGCUUGCCAACCUGCUCAGGACCCUUCCUACCCUGGAGACCCCAAAAUACCUAGUCACAAUCAACAGCCUUUGUUCACAACCUCAGUGCCUGUUCCCACCACCAGCACUGCACCCCUCACUUCUACAGCACCCACCCACUCAGGGACUGGAGGCCAGUUUUCAUCCACAGUCAGUCCUACCAAAGCUUGCCAACCUGCUCAGGAUGCUCCCUACCCUGGAGACCCAGAAAUACCCAGUCACAGUCAGCAGUCUUUGUCUACACCCUCAGUGUCUGUUCCCACCACCAGCACUGCAACCUUCACUUCUACAGUUCCCAGCCUUCCAGGGAUGGAAGGCCAGUUAGAGGAAAAUCUUCUCCAGACCCUAUGUUGCUCUGGAGUAUCCCAAGCCAACUCCAGCAUGGCCAGCCCACUGAGACCUCAAAGCUACGGGGCCAGUCUUUCCUUGGAAGACCUCCUGCAACCAGACGAGGAAAACUUGGGGUUCCUGGGGCACCCUGCUCUUCUGGUUGACCUACUGUCACAGCUGGAAUCUCCUCCCAGCCAACAGGAUGCAUCUGAGUACUCCUGUGUCCAGUCCAGCCAGGAGAGUGGGCAUGAGCACAGGACAUCGUCUGUUGGGUACAAGGUAGAAAAGUCGGAGUGUUCGACCUCCGAUGGGAAGUCGGACUGUUCAACUUCCCGGUCGGAAGUUGCUACCGGAACGACCCCUGAAGUUGGAUUUACAACUCUGAAAGUUGGAGGAACAUCACCAAACUCCGCCUCACAACCCAAGACACCUGCUCCGUAUCCCAGUCUUGGUCUUGAGGAGAACAUUGAAACGUAUUUGGAAUACAUGAAGUACACCACAUGUACUUCUGACUGCGCAAAGAUCCCAGAAAACCUGGUUAAACCCGGAGACACCAUCACAGACAGCUGCAAGGAGAAUGCCAAUCCUGCACCCCGCCCGUCACCAUCAGGUGUGACAACCAAUCACACAUUCAGCAAAGAGCAAACGCUGUUCAUAAUUAGCCAAGUGCAACAGCACAUUACGUCUGAUGGACUUGGUCUCCCUAAGAACCUGGCAGAAUUGAAUGACCGGCUGAAAUCUCCCAAAGGCAGUAAAAAGGAAUUCUGGAUGGACUUAAAAGAAAAGUUGAACAGUAAGUUCAGACAAGCGUUCAGCUAUGAGAAGGUAAACAGGAAAUGGAACACUCUGGUCGAAGGAUACAAGAAAGUGAAAGGCAAUAAUAAAUUAACAGAAAAAGGAACACGCUUCCAAUUUUAUGCAGAAAUGGAUGCACUUAUGGAUCAAAAUGAUGAACAAAAUGAAGUGGACCCAAUUUUCAAGACAUCAGAGGAGCUGCAGGUGUGCGGGCCUGAGGCCCUGGGACGUUGCAGCAGUGUCACAGCAUUCGCUGAAACUACACUUAGCCAAGCUACACCAAGACAACUUGCUGCUAAACGUAAGCCAGAACCCUCUGCCACACCUCCACCAGAACCCUCUGCCAUACCUGCGCCAAAACCCUCUGCCACACCUGCGCCAGAACCCUCUGCCACACCUGCGCCAAAACCCUUUGCCACACCUGCGCCAAAACCCUUUGCCACACCUGCGCCAGAACCCUUUGCCACACCUGCACCAGAACCCUCUGCCACACCUAUGCCUCCUUGCAAACGUAAAAAGUGGGAGGAUGAGGAAAAGCUGUCCUUGCGAGAGUUUGAUGAAAACUGUCAACGGCGCCACGAGGAAGUUAUGCACGUGCUAAACCGUCAACUGGAUGUUCAAAAGACGCAGACACAGCUUUUGUACAUGAUAUGUUCACAGCGGCGUUAAAAGCUGUACAGUGUCCAAGCUCUUGCACAAUUUUUUACCUUUUUGUUUUUUAGUUUAUUUAAAAAGGGACAGUGCAAAUGAACAAAUACACAUGGUAUAAAAAUGCCAGAAUUAGCCAAAAGGCUAUUUUUCAUUUGUAGUCCCUGGGCCAAGAUGUUACACGAGGCUACCUUAAAUACAACAAAGCACAAAAAAGCAAACCACAAAACAAAAAGUGAGAAAAAGGAAAAAAAAAAGAAGAAAGAAAACGACAUACAGUAUAAAAGACCGUCCUGUUAAUUAUUUACUUUCUGUUUGUCUUUUUUUUUUAAGUUUUUUUAAAAACAUUUUUAUAGAGUUUGCACAAAAAUAGCACUUCUUGCACAUUGUGUCUAAUUGUCUAUUAAUUGUAAAUAUAUAAUAUAUAUAUAUAAAAAAAAAUCUCCAACAGGCUCCGGCUGUGACACCUCAAAACACGGCAGGGAGGUCAAGUUGAGUGGCCUUUGGUGAGGCCUCGCUGACAGCCUGUCAGUCAGAGUGGCUACACCCUUAAUUAUGCAGAACUUAAAGCCUUAAUAACAUUUAAAGGGGAUUGUUAUAAAAAAUAUUCACCCCCGCAUAGUUCAAUCAAUCAAUCAAACUUUAUUUAUAUAGCACUUUUUGUACAAACAGAAUGUAGCACAAAGUGCUUUACACACACACACACACACACACACAGUCACACAAAAAGAUUAAUUCAGAGACUCUAAUGGUAAGGACCAAACAGUAGAAGACUACUAUAAAAACGGUAACUGAGGAAACGCUAUCAUAAGUAAGGAAACACCAGAGGCAGGAUAAAGCAGAGCGGAUUGCUGACAGCUAUCACAGAGCUGUCAAUCAGACUGGAGAGCAGUCUGUGUUUCUCCUGGGGGAUUUUAAUUGCUGUGACCCGACGUGGAGCAAUAUGAAACCACUACGGCCAGAAUGAACAAUAUACUGGACCUGUGCUAUGGGAAUAUCCCAAACGCAUAUGUAUCAAAGCCACGCCCCCCUCUCGGCCGGUCAGACCACAACAUCAUCCUGCUACUACCAAAAUACAGAUCACAACUUAAAAUGGGUGAGACAACAACAAAAACCAUUAAAGUCUGGAAUAAUGAAGCAACCGAAACACUCAGGUUGCUUUGAACUCACUGACUAGGACUUGUUUUUCAAUGACUGUGGUAGGGAUUUGAAUUCACUGACAGAAGUACUGACCUACAUUUUAUUCUGUGAGGACAC